AUUGAACGCUGGCGGCAUGCCUUACACAUGCAAGUCGAACGGUAACGGGUCCUUCGGGAUGCCGACGAGUGGCGAACGGGUGAGUAAUAUAUCGGAACGUGCCCAGUAGUGGGGGAUAACUGCCCGAAAGAGCAGCUAAUACCGCAUACGACCUGAGGGUGAAAGGGGGGAUCGCAAGACCUCUCGCUAUUGGAGCGGCCGAUAUCAGAUUAGCUAGUUGGUGGGGUAAAGGCCUACCAAGGCAACGAUCUGUAGUUGGUCUGAGAGGACGACCAGCCACACUGGGACUGAGACACGGCCCAGACUCCUACGGGAGGCAGCAGUGGGGAAUUUUGGACAAUGGGCGCAUGCCUGAUCCAGCAAUGCCGCGUGCAGGAAGAAGGCCUUCGGGUUGUAAACUGCUUUUGUCAGGGAAGAAAUCUUCUGGGCUAAUACCCCGGGAGGAUGACGGUACCUGAAGAAUAAGCACCGGCUAACUACGUGCCAGCCGCCGCAGUAA
rnacentral:rRNA from 1 species